AUUGAACGCUGGCGGCAGGCCUAACACAUGCAAGUCGAGCGAGCGGCGGACGGGUGAGUAAUGUCUGGGAAACUGCCUGAUGGAGGGGGAUAACUACUGGAAACGGUAGCUAAUACCGCAUACCAUCAGAUGUGCCCAGAUGGGAUUAGCUAGUAGGUGGGGUAACGGCUCACCUAGGCGACGAUCCCUAGCUGGUCUGAGAGGAUGACCAGGAAAAUUGGAUCGGAGACACGGUGCAGACUCCGACGGGAGGCAGCAGUGGGUAAUAGUGCGUAAGGGGGGCAAGCAUGAUGCGGCCAGGCCGGGGGGGGGAAGAAGGCCUUCGGGUUGUAAAGCUCUUUCAGCGGGGAGGCGUUACCGUCAGAAGAAGAACCGGCUAACUCCGGGCAAGCAGCCGCGGUAAUAC
rnacentral:rRNA from 1 species